GGUAAAAAGCACGAAGUCUGACGGAGCACGCCGCGUGAACGAAGAAGGCCUUCGGGUCGUAAAGUUCUGUUGUUAGGGAAGAACAAGUACCAGAGUAACUGCUGGUACCUUGACGGUACCUAACCAGAAAGCCACGGCUAACUACGUGCCAGCAGCCGCGGUAAUACGUAGGUGGCAAGCGUUGUCCGGAAUUAUUGGGCGUAAAGCGCGCGCAGGUGGUUCYUUAAGUCUGAUGUGAAAGCCCACGGCUCAACCGUGGAGGGUCAUUGGAAACUGGGGAACUUGAGUGCAGAAGAGGAAAGUGGAAUUCCAAGUGUAGCGGUGAAAUGCGUAGAGAUUUGGAGGAACACCAGUGGCGAAGGCGACUUUCUGGUCUGUAACUGACACUGAGGCGCGAAAGCGUGGGGAGCAAACAGGAUUAGAUACCCUGGUAGUCCACGCCGUAAACGAUGAGUGCUAAGUGUUAGAGGGUUUCCGCCCUUUAGUGCUGCAGCUAACGCAUUAAGCACUCCGCCUGGGGAGUACGGCCGCAAGGCUGAAACUCAAAGGAAUUGACG
rnacentral:rRNA from 1 species